GCGCUAGUGGCGUAAUGGUAGCCGCGCCGGUCUUAGAAACCGGUCUUUACGGGUGGGGGUUCGAGUCCCUCCUAGCGCA
rnacentral:tRNA from 1 species